GGGCAAAAGAUAGGAAAGACUUUGGCAAAACUUGGAUUUAUCCUGCACCAAAGUUUAACCCAAGUUUAACCCAACUCUUGCCA
rnacentral:pre_miRNA from 1 species